rnacentral:lncRNA from 1 species
GUUUUACUUUGAGGUAGGCAGUUAUGGUUAUACAAACCUUUUCCUUGUUUUUCGCUAAAAUUCCAAAGAUAGCUUGAGGGCCUGGUACCUUCAUGUCAUUGUAAGGAGACAGAGAAAGGACAGAGAGAAUUAACACCUAGUAUAAUAAUAUAUUUUGACUGGGUCUCCCAACCCCAGAAAGUCCUGGAACAGACAGUGUAUAUUCUCCUCAGAGAAACACUUGCCCACAGCCUGCUCUGACACAGAGUUGGAAGAAGAAAGGUUCUAAAGGUGGAUUGCUUCAUUCAUUUAGUUUUCUCCUCAACACACUGGGACAAAAAGGAAAAAUUUCAGCA